rnacentral:misc_RNA from 1 species
UCUCCGUUGGUGAACCAGCGGAGGGAUCAUUACAGAGUUCCACAACUCCCCACUCCUGCCAACCGUACCCCAGUUUGUUCUCCUUGCCUUCUGGCUGCUCUCCCCCAGCCCCACCCCCGUUUCCCCCGCCGUCGUCGGCUGGCUGCCGGAACCUUUUGUUUUCAACACACCCGUCUAAACCAAUAAACAAAUGUAUCAAAACUUUCAACAACCGAUCUCUUGGUGCUGUCAUCGUUGAAGAACUCUUCACACCGGAAGAGUACACUUCCGAACCCCAGU